UUGAGUGAAGCACCUGUUACUAAAAUACAGAGAAGCUUCUUGCAGCUGAACCCUGCCCAGAGGAAACAAGACUUCGCUAACCAUCAUGAAACGUGUGAACGUGUGAAUGUUCUGGGGCUGCAAGAAAGACUUCAUACCCAGCUCUGAUUCGGUGUGUUUGAAUUAGGAUGGAUUUCAGGAGUUACAGGUGGUGUGGACUUCUCGCUUACAUAUUUAUUCAGCGUCUAUCACAGUAGGAGGCCCUGGAUGUGACUGUAAUACAAACAACACUGACAAAUCUGUGUUUCCAUGAGUUGCAGGAAACGGCUGAAAGAUCCAUCUCCCUCUUGAAGCCGGAUGGAUGAACUGAAGCAGCAGACAGAGCCUGGAGGGAGAAAAGAAAGAACUGUUAUCCUGGUUCUAUAUAUGCAGCAGCAGAAGAGGUAUCUCUGUCCCGUCUUCCUGAUACAAGUCAAAACCCAGACCUCCUCCCAGAGCUCCACUUUGGACACAGAAUAUCUCUCAGGAGAAGAAAAGCCUUUACACCUGUAUGGCUAGUCAUUUCUUGGGGCAGGCUAGCACAGAAUACACCUGCAAGAGACAGGAUCCCCCACACUGCAGAGAAGUUCAGAAGACGCCAUCAAAAGGAAAGCUCCAGGACAUCAGUCUGCACUCAGUCCUGGAUGAGUUCCAGUGUCCAACUAGAGGAGCAGAGCAGGACAGCCCAAAGCUGGCAGUGGCAGGCACCACAACAGAGGGGAACAGAGGGGUUGAAGGCCAGAAGCUGGAAACAUGGCCUUUGAGGCAUUGGAGUCAGAGGAAUCUGGUGCCUCUUUCCAGGCAGCAGUGUCUCCUUCCAGCCAGCUCUGCAGGUGUCAGUGAGCAGUGAGAAACAGAGAACCAAGACCAGAGUUCAACUUGACACAUAACAUUGUGGCUGGAUCCAAAAGACACAAGACAUUAUUCCUUGGACAUCUCAAGAAAAACAGAGUCAGAUUAUCUGCUGGUUUAAACAAACCUUGGCCAAAGGAAGGCUACCACACAAUGCAAACACAAAAGUGCAAGACUGUGCUUUGCUGGGAGCAACCUGUCAUACUAGAAAACACUUUUCUAAUAUCACUCUUUUUAUGACUGAAUCUGAUGAUGGCAGUGGUUGUUUUCUUCACAGUUCACACAGAAUGGCCAUCAAAAAAUAGCCAACUUUUCCUUCGUCUCAGAUGAAAGUCUCCAUAACCUUGGUGGGAAUUUAUAGUCUGUCGUUGCGUUUUGAGAUGCCAUAUGUGCGAGAGAAUAAGAGGGAGGGAGACAUUUUGUUUCCAAAAAUUAUGCCACGCUUAGCACUAUUACAGCAUGGUGGACAAUGUAUAUCAUUUAAAGUAGCAAGAAGAGGUCUGGGGCAAAGGAAGACCUUGUGGUAAGCACAAAUGUCUCUUGUCCUUGGGGACAAAGAAAAAAAAUCUAAAACCCACCCUCCACUAAUUAAUGCAAUAUAAUCCAUUCAAACGGGAAGAAAGUUCUGAAUUGUUUUUUAAUUAUUUCCCAUGAAUAAAUCUUCUUUGACAGGAAAGAAUCAGCAGUACCCAGUGAAGGGCAACUAUUUCAUUGCAAGAGUCUAUUCAGCCUGAGGGUGACAUCCUAGCUGGGAGAUUUAUGGAGAAACUACUAUCACAUCUGAAUUUUUUGAGUCCCUUUACUUUGGUUGACCCUAAUGAUUUGGUGUCACCUUGUGGAUUUUGCUAAUCCUAUCUUCUCUGGCUCAGCAAAUGAAGUCCAAAAGAACCUGAAACACCUCUGCCUCUGCUUUUGC